UUGCAUUAGGAUGCAAAAGAAAAUACUCCUUGCGCUUUCUGUCUGUCUUUGUGGCUGUCCAGAUUGAGUUGGGGAGUAUAUCU
rnacentral:snoRNA from 1 species